UAUUUUUACUGAUUUUUAUAGAGUAAAGAUAGAAAUAAAACUUAGUAAAAUCAGUAAAAAUAUUCUUAGGCUAAAGUUAAGUAGUUUAAGUUGUGUGCAAGUGGUAGGAGAGCGUUCUAUUUGCGUCGAAGGUAUACCGGUAAGGAGUGCUGGAGCGAAUAGAAGUGAGCAUGCAGGCAUGAGUAGCGAUAAUUAAUGUGAGAAUCAUUAACGCCGUAAACCCAAGGUUUCCUACGCGAUGCUCGUCAUCGUAGGGUUAGUCGGGUCCUAAGUCGAGUCCGAAAGGGGUAGACGAUGGCAAAUUGGUUAAUAUUCCAAUACCAACAUUAGUGUGCGAUGGAAGGACGCUUAGGGCUAAGGGGGCUAGCGGAUGGAAGUGCUAGUCUAAGGUCGUAGGAGGUUAUACAGGCAAAUCCGUAUAACAAUACUCCGAGAACUGAAAGGCUUUUUGAAGUCUUCGGAUGGAUAGAAGAACCCCUGAUGCCGUCGAGCCAAGAAAAGUUUCUAAGUUUAGCUAAUGUUGCCCGUACCGUAAACCGACACAGGUGGGUGGGAUGAGUAUUCUAAGGCGCGUGGAAGAACUCUCUUUAAGGAACUCUGCAAAAUAGCACCGUAUCUUCGGUAUAAGGUGUGGUUAGCUUUGUAUUAGGAUUUACUCCGAAAGCAAGGAAACUUACAACAAAGAGUCCCUCCCGACUGUUUACCAAAAACACAGCACUCUGCUAACUCGUAAGAGGAUGUAUAGGGUGUGACGCCUGCCCGGUGCUCGAAGGUUAAUUGAUGGGGUUAGCAUUAGCGAAGCUCUUGAUCGAAGCCCGAGUAAACGGCGGCCGUAACUAUAACGGUCCUAAGGUAGCGAAAUUCCUUGUCGGUUAAAUACCGACCUGCAUGAAUGGCGUAACGAGAUGGGAGCUGUCUCAAAGAGGGAUCCAGUGAAAUUGUAGUGGAGGUGAAAAUUCCUCCUACCCGCGGCAAGACGGAAAGACCCCGUGGACCUUUACUACAGCUUGACACUGCUACUUGGAUAAGAAUGUGCAGGAUAGGUGGGAGGCUUUGAGUAUAUGACGCCAGUUGUAUAUGAGCCAUUGUUGAGAUACCACUCUUUCUUAUUUGGGUAGCUAACCAGCUUGAGUUAUCCUCAAGUGGGACAAUGUCUGGUGGGUAGUUUGACUGGGGCGGUCGCCUCCCAAAUAAUAACGGAGGCUUACAAAGGUUGGCUCAGAACGGUUGGAAAUCGUUCGUAGAGUAUAAAGGUAUAAGCCAGCUUAACUGCAAGACAUACAAGUCAAGCAGAGACGAAAGUCGGUCUUAGUGAUCCGGUGGUUCUGUGUGGAAGGGCCAUCGCUCAAAGGAUAAAAGGUACCCCGGGGAUAACAGGCUGAUCUCCCCCAAGAGCUCACAUCGACGGGGAGGUUUGGCACCUCGAUGUCGGCUCAUCGCAUCCUGGGGCUGGAGCAGGUCCCAAGGGUAUGGCUGUUCGCCAUUUAAAGCGGUACGCGAGCUGGGUUCAGAACGUCGUGAGACAGUUCGGUCCCUAUCUGCCGUGGGCGUAAGAAGAUUGAAGAGAUUUGACCCUAGUACGAGAGGACCGGGUUGAACAAACCACUGGUGUAGCUGUUGUUCUGCCAAGAGCAUCGCAGCGUAGCUAAGUUUGGAAAGGAUAAACGCUGAAAGCAUCUAAGCGUGAAGCCAACUCUAAGAUGAAUCUUCUCUAAGCUCUCUAGAAGACUACUAGUUUGAUAGGCUGGGUGUGUAAUGGAUGAAAGUCCUUUAGCUGACCAGUACUAAUAGAGCGUUUGGCUUAUCUUU
rnacentral:rRNA from 1 species